UUCAUAUCAGGAAGCCAUGAGCAUCCCUGGUCAUGUGUGAUGAGUGGACACAUCUGUUGCAUAAUGUGUGAAGCCACAGCUGGCUGAAGCUUCCUAUUAUAUGUGUUCUGCAUGGACACAUGGCGCAGCAUGCAUUUGGGUUGUCCUCAGAUGUGAUGGAGAGAUCCAUGAGGUUGCAGAGAAUCAUUGUAUGUGGAGCUGCUGCCAAAACGCACCCUGUCAAGGAUCUAUGAAGAAUCUCUUCUUCUUCUCUCUACCAAAGCAGUGAAUUGCAUGGAUUUUAAAACAGUUCCUAUGAUUUCUCUCUUGGGUCAGGAAGCUAACAUAAGAAGAGCCCUGCUGGGUCAGACCAUCGGCCUAUCUAGUCCUGCAUUUUGUUCCCACAGUGGUCAAGAAGGACAUGAGUAAAACAGCACCCACACACCAAUAUACCCCAGCAACUGGUGCACAGAUACAGACCACCUCUGAUACUGGAGUAAACAUUUCUCGCAUUUUGCCUUUGGAGCCCAGGGGCUUAAGAGAACUGCCUCUCUGACUAGCCUGCAGCCCUCCAUCCCUCACCUCCUCCUUGCUUUUGCCUGGCUGGUCGGUGCCACUCCACCACCCUGCUGCCACCUCCAUGCAAAGCAAGGCAGAGAGAAGACCACUUCGUCCUUUCUGUGCUCCGCGGCUGAAAUUCAUCUGAGAAAAAUGCCCACACCAGGCAGCUGCCGCCACCACGGCCUUCUCCAACUGGAACUUCCAAUUAGAGCGAUUUUGCCUGCCCCUGCAGACAGGCGUCUCUUUAGGCUUGUUCCCUGAGAUCGCUUCCGGCUGUUUGGGGCACUCUGCCCUUCGCUCGGGGCUUCAUGUAACACCUUGGCCUCAGUUCCUCUCAGGCGUCGCUCUGAUCAGGACUUGGCCCAGCAGGUGCUGGAGUGCCUGGGACUCUCCUGCCCUGUGUGGCACAAUCAAGACGGUGCCCUGCUGAUCUCGGGGCCCAAGAGCUUAGACUCAUGCACCAGUGACAUCCCUGCUUUACGAGAACCUUCUCUGCAGUGGCCACAAACUCCCAUCGGAGGUCCGCCGUGCACCAUCCUUGCAGGCUUUUAAGAGGGCCUUGAAAACUUUUUAUUUUACCAUGGCCUUCUCAUAAUAUGAGGAUUGUCGUCGCUGCUAUUGCCAUUGCUGUCCUUGCUGGUUUUUUAAUUGUUGUCCUUUAUUGUUUUUAAUUGCUAUUUUAUUGUGUUUAUGUUUGCAUUGCUUUUAAUAUUUUAACUGUUUGUAUGUAUUUUAUUGUUGUAAGCUGCCUUGUGAGGGCUUCUGCUCUGAAAGGCGGCCAAGAAAUGCUUUAAAUAAAUAAAUAAUCAAAAUUGAGAGAGAGAGAGAGCGCUCUAUCACACCAGCGUUAUACUGUACAAUCACUGUGAAUUGCAUGCAAAGGACUCCGAUGUUUUCUACCUUACAAUCUGCUGUUACGGCAAAGUACUCUGAUGUGUCCUGCUUUGAUUGCGCUUCCCCCCCCCCCCCAAAAUAGCGACGUAUUUUGGACUGCAGAAAGUGCGAUUCUUUUGUUGUUCUCCAAGCAGCCACUGGGGGCACGGAAGGAUGACGAGGAGCAGAGUCACCCGGCCACCUCUCUCGGCAACCCCCAAGCGAGCGCCACGGAGUCCAGCCCAACCCUCCCGGGGCACGCACCGGGACAGGGCAGAAGUGGAUGUAUAAUGUUGGUGUGAUGGAGCUAACAAUGACAGCUUUCAUACGCUAUGGGAUAAUUCGAGGGAAAUGGGUAGGAGUGAUGAAGCUGAGAGAGA